rnacentral:rRNA from 1 species
GACGAACGCUGGCGGCGUGCUUAACACAUGCAAGUCGAGCGAUGAAGCUUCUUCGGAAGUGGAUUAGCGGCGGACGGGUGAGUAACACGUGGGUAACCUGCCUCAUAGAGGGGAAUAGCCUUCCGAAAGGAAGAUUAAUACCGCAUAAGAUUGUAAUAUCGCAUGAUAUAGUAAUUAAAGGAGCAAUCCGCUAUGAGAUGGACCCGCGUCGCAUUAGCUAGUUGGUGAGGUAACGGCUCACCAAGGCGACGAUGCGUAGCCGACCUGAGAGGGUGAUCGGCACCAUUGGGACUGAGACACGGCCCAGACUCCUACGGGGGGCAGCAGUGGGGAAUAUUGCACAAUGGGGGAAACCCUGGUGCAGCAACGCCGCGUGAGUGAUGACGGUCUUCGGAUUGUAAAGCUCUGUCUUCAGGGACGAUAAUGACGGUACCUGAGGAGGAAGCCACGGCUAACUACGUGCCAGCAGCCGCCGUAA